rnacentral:rRNA from 1 species
AUUGAACGCUGGCGGCAGGCCUAACACAUGCAAGUCGAACGGAGUGGCGGACGGGUGAGUAAUGUCUGGGAAACUGCCUGAUGGAGGGGGAUAAAUACGGGAAACGGUAGCUAAUACGGCAUACUAUGAGAUGAGCCUAGGUCGGAUUAGCUAGUUGGUGGGGUACAGGCCAACCAAGGCGACGAUCCGUAACUGGGCUGAGAGGAUGAUCAGUCACACUGGAACUGAGACACGGUCCAGACUCCUACGGGAGGCAGCAGUGGGGAAUAUUGGACAAUGGGCGAAAGCCUGAUCCAGCCAUGCCGCGUUUGUGAAGAAGGUCUUCGGAUUGUAAAGCACUUUAAGUUGGGAGGCGUUACCAACAGAAUAAGCACCGGCUAACUUCGUGCCAGCAGCCGCGGUAAUAC